rnacentral:rRNA from 1 species
UUUAAAUAGCUGCAGUAUUUUAACUGUACAAAGGUAGCGUAGUAAUUAGUCUUUUAAUUGAGGUCUAGAAUGAAUGGUUUAACAAGAAACCUACUUUAUUAAAUUAAUAAAAUAAAUUUUAUUUUUUAGUUAAAAAGCUAAAAUUUAAAAAUGGGACGAUAAGACCCUAUAGAUCUUUAAAUUUUCUUUAAAAAUUUUAUUUUGGUUGAAUAAUUUAUUUUUAAAAAAAAUUUUUUAUUGGGGUGAUAUACAAAAUUUUAAAACUUUGUAAAUUAUUUACAUUAAUUAAUGAUUUUAGUUGAACCUAAAUUUUAGGUUGUUAAAAUGAGAUACCUUAGGGAUAACAGCGUAAUAAAUUUGUAUAGUUCAUAUAGAUAAGUUUGUUUACGACCUCGAUGUUGAAUUAACUUAAAGUUUUGGGGCAGAAUAUAAAAUUUUGGGUCUGUUCGACCCUUAAAAGGUUACA